UUUCUGCUGGCUUAGAUGGUAAAGAAUCUGCCUGUAAGGCAGGAGACCUGGGUUCAAACCCUGGGUUGGGAA
rfam:Ovis aries breed Texel chromosome 1, whole genome shotgun sequence.